GAGGCCCCGCCCUACCAGGCACGGAGGAGCCCCAGCAGCAUCUACAGGCCAAACCCAUAGUACGUCAGACGGAGCGGCGAGGGCCACCUCGCAGCCCUGCACAGCCUGCAGACCCAGGGCAUGGGCUUCUCACAACUACAGAAAACAACUCAACUCCUCUGGGAGAGUCAAAAAAAAGAGGAGGAGAAAGUAGAGAGUAAGUCCCCUCCCCACCAGGCUGCACAUGGCUGUGCCCCCGCCUGGUCCUCACCGGCCCGACCCCCUCGGCCCUGGCAGAUGGGGUUGGGGAGCUGACAGCUGGCCUGGCGGGGCUCCCCACCCCAGCCAGGUGGGGACAAGGGAGGCCUGUUGCCGUCAUUGACGUAUUUCAAAAGCAGGUUUCACUCUGAGUACUGACGCUGAGUUCCCGUUCCUCUGGGUCUUUGGGAAGCUACUCCGGGGCUUGGCUGGAUUGAAACAUAAAGAACAGAAAGUGUCCAAAAUGGAGUUUCCUAGAACUUCGGGAAAAUGGAGCAGGGGUUGUCAGCAGCGCCCUGGCCUUAUCUCUGAAGUGUGCACGGGAGCUGGCGGGCCUCUGGGAGGCCAGCCCCAUGGACUCCCCCCUCUCCUCACUGUCUUCCUCUCCGGCCAGCACGCUCAUCAUCCAGGGCCCCAGCCCCAUUUUGGAGAGCACCCCCUCAGUGUGGGAGCUUGCAGGGCAGUGUGGGAGGAAAUAGGCCCCGGGGCUCGGGGAUGCAGGGCAGGGAGGCUGCAGAGGACCCUGGGGAGCACCCAUCACUCCUGGCAGAAUUUAUCCAGGCAGGUCUGUUCCCAGAAGUCCCCAGUCUCAGGCCGUAAGGACUCAACUCUGAGCCAUCUGGGAUCCCAGGAAAGGGAAUGGGAGCCUGGCACCUGUGUCUGGAGCAGUCCUGGACUGCGCUGGGUAUGGAAGAGGCUGCCGCCCACCAACAGGUUCCCUUAGGGCAACAGCUGAGGUCAUGGCAGG
rnacentral:lncRNA from 1 species